GGGCCUCAAAUAAUGUGUGACUACCC
rnacentral:rRNA from 1 species